UAUUUAUCUUUAAAAUGGGGUGCACUUAUUAAUGCCCAGCGUCAUAAAUACUAUAUACAGGGCUUUACAUUAACACCCGCUAAAUGUGGGUAGAUUUCAGCUCUGGCGGGUUGGACAGCCGCUCCCACUAGACACUUGGCAGGUUGGCAAUAAUUUUGCAUUGUAGUUUUCUUAAAGCAGAGUUCGACAAUAAGCAUGGCCCAAAAUGUGAUCUUAGAAUCGAGAAACAGCACGACUGACAACAAUAACUGUGUUCACGCGAGACAAAGCAGGUGAAUACCGUAUGAGAGGAGGAUUACUCGCGCGCACAGGGGACACGUGGACGGAGACUCUGGCGUACGUGCUGUUCUGGGGCUCCGCCAGCGUGGUGACCGGCGGCGUGAUCCUCUUCAACGGACGGGACUUUGUGGACGCCCCGCGGCUGGUGCAGAAGGAGAAGAUGGACUGAACCUGCGUGUGUGGGAAGCAGUCGGGCCCCGCGGAGCCUUCAUCCUCAUCCUCACCCUGGAGCCUGUACUGAUGACGAUGAUGAUGAUGAUGAGGGCCCGGGGCCGAACACACGGGGUCACGCUGCUCUCCACACCAGCAUCAAGCCACGCCCACUUUCCCAUGAUUCCAUCUGCCGGUCGCACCGCUGGACGCUCAGGCUGACCGUGAGGCCCUCGGCCCCGUCCUCACGGUGCAACCAGAUCCGCCAUUUUGGCUCAAGCGCUGGCUGAUGAUGACGUGUUUGUCUUGUUUUCUAAUAAACGCUGAGUGACAGUAAGG